CACGUACUCCCUUCGUCCGGAAUUACUUGUCACAAAAAUGAAUGUAUUUACAACUAAAAUACAUCUAGAUACAUUCAUUUCUUAGAUGAGUAAUUCUGAACGGAGGGAGUACGUG
rnacentral:pre_miRNA from 1 species